rnacentral:rRNA from 1 species
UACGUAGGGGGCAAGCGUUGUCCGGAUUUACUGGGCGUAAAGAGCGUGUAGGCGGCCAAGCAGGUCCGUUGUGAAAACUGGAGGCUUAACCUCCAGACGUCGACGGAAACCGCGUGGCUAGAGUCCGGAAGAGGAGAGUGGAAUUCCUGGUGUAGUGGUGAAAUACGUAGAUAUCAGGAGGAACACCGGUGGCGAAGGCGGCUGCCUGGCCCACAACUGACGCUGAGGUGCGAAAGCGUGGGGAGCGAACCGG